GGUAAUGGGCAUCCUCCUUCAGUUUAUUAACUCCAGCUGUGCAUGUUGACUAUUUUUGUGAAGAGGUGCCACAUGAGACGAAUACUGAAUGGGAAAAACAGGAUCUGAUGUCAGAAACAACUGAUCACAUGAAGCCUGUAUUACAAGACAGGUUGAGGAAACUGACCCUGCUACCCACCACCACCUUGAAGCACAUCCCUGUGUUCAUCAAGAUAAAAUGUGACCAAUGUUUAUGUCACCAGCUUUCCCAGCAAGGUACUUACAUGGACUGACCACCUGUCUGGAAGUUCAUUUGAAAUUCUUCACCUGACUACAGUCUGUCAAAGGGAGUCAGAUAAUAUAGCCUAGUUUUAAAGAAGAGUAAACAAAAUCUGACAAAGAUGAGGACACAGGGAAAUACCUUUGAAGGAACAUUCAGAAAUUAUUGCUCCUUGUGCCACUUAAAAGGAACUACAUUCGAUUGGAGAGCAGUGCUAUUAGGUAGAGAUGUACAAUAUUGAAAUGGAUUUAAUAAGGUAAAUGACAGUUUGCCUUCUGUCCUUUCCCUGUAUGACUGUCAAGAUUCAUGUAGUGCUAUUUCACCUUGUUUUUUUCCAGUAUCCAGAUGAUUUAGUAAG
rnacentral:lncRNA from 1 species